CCCAGACUCCUACGGGAGGCAGCAGUGGGGAAUAUUGCACAAUGGGGGAAACCCUGAUGCAGCGACGCCGCGUGAGCGAGGAAGUAUUUCGGUAUGUAAAGCUCUGUCAGCAGGGAAGAAGAAUGACGGUACCUGAAGAAGAAGCACCGGCUAAAUACGUGCCAGCAGCCGCGGUAAUACGUAUGGUGCAAGCGUUAUCCGGAUUUACUGGGUGUAAAGGGAGCGCAGGCGGUUCUGCAAGUCUGAUGUGAAAGCCCGGGGCUCAACCGCGGGACUGCAUUGGAAACUGCGGGACUGGAGUGUCGGAGGGGUAAGCGGAAUUCCUGGUGUAGCGGUGAAAUGCGUAGAUAUCAGGAGGAACACCGGUGGCGAAGGCGGCUUACUGGACGAUGACUGACGCUGAGGCUCGAAAGCGUGGGGAGCAAACAGGAUUAGAUACCCUAGUAACA
rnacentral:rRNA from 1 species